rnacentral:tRNA from 1 species
UCCGGGGUAGCUCAGCGGCAGAGCAGUGGACUGUUAAUCCAUUGGUCGUGGGUUCGAAUCCCACCCCCGGAGCCA